UCCCCCUUGCAAUGGGCAAAGAGACACCUUAUUGGUGGUGGUGUUCUUACAUCAGUCAGGGGCAAAACAGAAGGCAGUCCUUUGUUCAUCUUACUUUAAUACCUGGCUUGGUGGCCAAAGCUGUUUUAUGCCUAGGGCUCAUAA